AAACUUAAAAUGAUGCAGAUGUUUUAUGGGGACAGAGUUUCCGUUUGGGAAGAUGAAGAAGUUCUGGAGAUGCAUGGUGGUGACGGCUGCACAGCGCUGUGACUGUACUUAAUGCCCCUGAACUGCACUCUUAAAAAUGG